UUCUGCCUGUUAUAAACUCCUGCGAUCCGCUCAGAUCAGCCCGUCUGACCACUGAAACAUCUGAUGUCACAUUUUCCACGUCUGUUGGCGGCGCUCAGCGUCUGUGAUUAAAGUGUGUGGAGAGGAGUGAAGGUCACAGGGAGGAGACAGAAAUGUGAAGGAAGAGGAGGGCCGGCGUGUUGCUCCGGCAGAAUGAGGUCAUGUAAACUCCUGAUGAGACCAGAGUCCUGACAGAGACCGAAGGAAAGUGGAUCUGAAUGAGAAACAGCUGAAGGAAACCGCUCGGUCUGACUGGAAAUCACACAGAAUAUUAAAAAGAAAAAAGCAAUGCUUCAC